AGUGAACGCUGGCGGUAGGCCUAACACAUGCAAGUCGAACGGCAGCACAGUAAGAGCUUGCUCUUACGGGUGGCGAGUGGCGGACGGGUGAGGAAUACAUCGGAAUCUACUUUUUCGUGGGGGAUAACGUAGGGAAACUUACGCUAAUACCGCAUACGACCUACGGGUGAAAGCAGUGGAUCUUCGGACCUUGCGCGAUUGUAUGAGCCGAUGUCGGAUUAGCUAGUUGGCGGGGUAAAGGCCCACCAAGGCGACGAUCCGUAGCUGACCUGAGAGGAUGAUCAGCCACACUGGAACUGAGACACGGUCCAGACUCCUACGGGAGGCAGCAGUGGGGAAUAUUGGACAAUGGGCGCAAGCCUGAUCCAGCCAUACCGCGUGGGUGAAGAAGGCCUUCGGGUUGUAAAGCCCUUUUGUUGGGAAAGAAAAGCAGCAGGUUAAUACCCCGCUGUUCUGACGGUACCCAAAGAAUAAGCACCGGCUAACUUCGUG
rnacentral:rRNA from 1 species